UCUGUGGAGAGUACUGGAACUUGUGAGUAGUAUUUAAGUAAACUUAAAUACGAAAGCAUACUCGAUGAAACAGAAA
rnacentral:sRNA from 12 species